UACGUAGGGCGCAAGCGUUGUCCGGAAUUAUUGGGCGUAAAGAGCUCGUAGGUGGCUUGUCACGUCGGGUGUGAAAGCUUGGGGCUUAACUCCAGGUCUGCAUUCGAUACGGGCUGGCUAGAGGUAGGUAGGGGAGAACGGAAUUCCUGGUGUAGCGGUGAAAUGCGCAGAUAUCAGGAGGAACACCGGUGGCGAAGGCGGCUCUCUGGGACGGUACUGACGCUGAGACGCGAAAGCGUGGGGAGCGAACAGG
rnacentral:rRNA from 1 species